CUCCGUGGGCUUGAAAGCCCUCAUAUAUUCCGACUGAUUUAUUCCAUAUAGCCUUGGACUGCUAACCUCUGCGGUCAGUCCUUCGGACCAGAUGCGCGAAGAAGAAAAAUCAGGCGCGGGUGCAGAUAGGCUCGGCUUUCUACCCACUCCUUCGGUUAAUUACGGAUAGUCCUCCUUCCUUCCAUAUGGAUGGUCCUACGGAUAAAUCACCUGGACCUUUCUUUGGCCCUGCGGACUGCGGACGUAGGACGUAGGACUUCUUCUUCUUUAAAAAGAAGGGUCCAGGUGACCGUCCUUCGCAAAUUCUUUGCGCCUAACUACGGGUGCAAAGAAUAUUGCGGAGAAAAGAAAGAUUAUCCUUUUCAGGCUCUUUUCAUGAUCGGAGCAAAGAAUAUUGCGGAAAAGAAGAAAGGAGUGCAACUGAUUAAUUCCAUUGAGUAGGCCGAAGGACUUGAAACCUCAAAAUAAUACUGAAAGCCUAUGGAGAAGGAGUAAAGGAGGGAGCGGAAACUUCAGCAUUACUAGUCAGCCUCAUAAUAUAGAAGAUGAAAGUAGCUACGUAGUUCUCUUUUCUUCUUUUUAUACUUUCAGUGGAUAGUCGGACUCCCAUAACCUUUUCCGCCUAUCGAGCCUUUGUCCUUGAAUUCUGCUUUUUCUUCCUUUCAAUGAAAACCGCGGAGCCAUAAGUUUGAGUUCCAUGAAUGAGUCCCCAGAUCCAAGGCGAAGGACUAGUCUCGCAAUAUUCUUUGCACCUCCUUCAGCAUAAUCUAUUCAAUGCGCCUGUCUGUCCUUCGGACCUGUCCUCCGGUUCAAAGAAGAUUUCCAAGACUUCCAGGUGCGAAGCAGCUCGCCGACGAUUAGAUAGGGGGAGAGGAUCAAUGAAAUUGGAUGAGAAAGAUUAGACAGACGAAGGACUAUCUCUUAUUUGAAUCAUAUUGAAUAAGAAGAAGACUUGUAGUAAAGAAAAGAAGAAUGAACUCAUUAACGAGAAUGAAAGAAGCUCAAAAUCAAGCUCCAGAUCAAAGAAGCAGAGCACAAUAUCCCUGUCUUAUGGAACCUGCUUUCGUCUUCCGAUAAUAGAAAACCACUAAACCUUCUACCUACGUCUUCCUUUAAGCUAGAUUUUUGAGGUUAAGACUGAGAAGGAGCUCUUUCUUUGCACUCCGCGAAGCUCAUAAGAAGAAAGAUCAAUUCACAUCCAUAAAGAAAGAGUGAGGAAGAUAGAGAGAAAGAGUCAGACCUAUACGAACUCUAGUCCACUCAUUAACGAUAAUAAAGUCAAGAAAAGAGAGCUCAUUAACGCAAAGAUACACAGGCUGAAUGAAAUUUGAGAUUCAGAGGAGGAAAGAAUAUUGCGGAAAAGAAGAAAGGCUCUUUUCAUAUUGAGAAUAUUGCGGAGUCUCAUCUGGACCUUUGUUUUUGGAGCGUAGCGGUUUGAAUAGAAAGGAAGAAAUCUCAUAUCAAAACCUACUACGCGUCCGGACGGGAGAGAGAUUUUACAGUGGGAAAGCGUGAAAUCGAAAGGAGUCAACGGGUUCGCACUUUCAUGAAGAUUUCAUGCAUUGCAAGAAUGAAUUGCUUUGUGCCUUAAUUCAGGCGAACUCCUUGUGGUUUUCAUUCUUUCUUAAUGAGAAGAUUAAGUAAUUGUUCCACGCAGGGAAUGAGUUAACAGAAGAUAUAUACGGGGAAUGACUUCCCACACCCUUAGAAGUCUCACUACCCUCCAGCUUAAGAUAGAGAAAAAGAGGGAUUGCUCCCCCAAGGACUAAGAAGUAACUCCCCCCAAAGCAUGAACGACGGACGCGCCGAAAGCUACCUGCGUCAUCUCUUUCCCAAAUGGCCUUGCUUUGAACCCAUCUCUUAACUGAAAUAGAGUUCUUUCUCGGGAAGGGCUGUGGACAUUAGUUAUCCCUCAACACUCAUAAGAAGAGAUAACGACAUAAGAAGAGAUAAAAGGUUCCGGCCGGACCCUUUCCUAGCAAAUCCGAAACCUUCAUGCUUCCCUGGCCGUGUAGAGGUGUAAGCGGUCAGGGGGGAAGAAAGGUUCCUUGAAAUGCCACUAAUAGACAAGAGGGUAGAUGGGUAGCCGGAUUGGUAUGAAGCAGCGGCCGGGUCAGAGUCAGGUUGCAUCCCUUUCAGGAAUGAGAAGGAUAGGUUAUGAAUCACAGGCGUAAGACAUCCACAUCCACGAAUACGCUGUUGGAGGCGAAAGGCUCGACGACCAGAGGAUCAAGGGCUCGACCCCAGAGAGCGGGAAGAGGAGAAAGGCAGGCUAUCCCAUCCAUCCCUUGCCCCAGUUCUUGUGGAAGUUUCCGUCUUUCUUUGUUCUUGGUCCUCCCAGUUUCGGAUGCGCCGUGGUAGGGCAUUCGUCAGCUAUGAGAAGGCAGAUUUCUCUUCAUCCUGGACACGAGGUGUCCCAUCUUCGACUUACUCUGAAAGGGAUUCCACCAAGUGUCAAUGUUUCAGACUCAUCUGGACCCUUGUUUUUGCUAGAUUGAAC
rnacentral:lncRNA from 1 species